AGUGGGGAAUAUUGCACAAUGGGCGCAAGCCUGAUGCAGCCAUGCCGCGUGUGUGAAGAAGGCCUUCGGGUUGUAAAGCACUUUCAGCGGGGAGGAAGGGUCACUAGUUAAUACCUAGUGGCAUUGACGUUACUCGCAGAAGAAGCACCGGCUAACUCCGUGCCAGCAGCCGCGGUAAUACGGAGGGUGCAAGCGUUAAUCGGAAUUACUGGGCGUAAAGCGCACGCAGGCGGUUUGUUAAGUCAGAUGUGAAAUCCUCGAGCUCAACUUGGGAACUGCAUUUGAAACUGGCAAGCUAGAGUCUUGUAGAGGGGGGUAGAAUUCCAGGUGUAGCGGUGAAAUGCGUAGAGAUCUGGAGGAAUACCGGUGGCGAAGGCGGCCCCCUGGACAAAGACUGACGCUCAGGUGCGAAAGCGUGGGGAGCAAA
rnacentral:rRNA from 1 species